AGCAGCACUACUUACUGAAGUUGCAGAAGAACUUCUAAGAAGUGGUCGUUCCUUUGCAGCUGCCCCAUACUGGGACUUAUUCUGAAAUCUCCUACGCAUAUGAGGAAUCUUUACUCACACACAUAAGGUGUUACGUCCCAGCAGGUCCCACUGAGCGUGCAUCCAUGCCUGUGCUGACGUUAGGCCAGUGGGUGGUAAUACACAAGAGAGGGUUCUGCACGCUGCAGGUGAUGAAGAUGGCAGCCGGUCAUCACUACAUUUGUACAAGUUAAUUUUGCAGGCUGUGCCGUGCUGCUCAGAAGCGGGGUAAACCCUUCCUUCAACUGACCUCUGUUUUCCAGCGCCUCCCUUUGGUUCGCCUUCUCCAACUUAUCAACCAGUGCUCAUCAUUCUGCCAAGAGGCACAUCUGGGAUGUCAGCGCUGCUUUAUGAUCUGGUUUCAUCAAGCCAUCUUUGUUGCAGUUUGAUGUACCGUGUACUAAAGUAUAUCUUGAAACGCCGCUGGUUUGGAACAUGCUCAUUUUUAUAAAACAGCUGCAAACAUUGGACAGGACAGCACAGUGAAAUCGCCAAGGCUGUAUUUUGGA
ensembl:lncRNA